rnacentral:rRNA from 1 species
CUUUACUCUAACUUGGCACUGACGUAUACGUCUGCAUGUGCAGGAUAGGUGGGAGACUAUGAAGGAGGGGCGUCAGCCCUUCCGGAGUCGUCGUUGAGAUACCACCCUUGCAUUCGUGUACGUCUAACUCUCAUUGAGAGGACCGUGCUUGGCGGGGAGUUUAACUGGGGCGGUUGCCUCCUAAAUCGUAACGGAGGCGCACAAAGGUGGGCUACUCUCGGAUGGAAAUCGAGAGCAUAGUGUAUUCGCAUAAGCCCGCUUGACUGAGAGACCAACAAGUCGAUCAGAGACGAAAGUCGGUGAAAGUGAUCCGGCACCAACAUGUGGGAGUGGUGUCGCUCAACGGAUAAAAGUUA